UAUGUGUCACACGGGACUGCCGGUCUUAAGCCGGAGGAAGGUGGGGAUGAUGUCAAGUCAGCAUGGCCUUUAUAUCCUGGGCUACACACACGCUACAAUGGCCAACACAAUAGGUUGCUAAGCCGCGAGGUGGCGCCAAUACCAUAAAGUUGGUACUCAGUUCAGAUUGUAGGCUGCAAACCCGCCUGCAUGAAGAUGGAGUUGCUAGUAACCGCAGGUCAGCUAUACUGCGGUGAAUACGUUCCCGGGCUU
rnacentral:rRNA from 1 species